GUGAACCCAAUAGUUAAUGGGUGCUCACUUGGUGAUGUGGAAAUAGAUGUUGUUUCUGAAAAGGUCAACUUAACUCCAGGAUGGAAAUGCACUAGGAUUGGAUCUGGGCCCAUCUGUCCCAGUGCUAGAGAAGCUGGAGAUGCUGAGGGCUGUGUCCUACUGCAACAGGCUUUCCACAGAGUGGGCCAAGAAUGUCUGAAGGUGCAUGAAGGUAGGAAGAUGCAAGAAGAGCACCGAGCAGCAUGACCUCCUAAGGAGACAGUGGCCUAAUGCAAGAUUGCACCUAUAGGGAAAGAAGAGGAAUACGAAGAAACAAGAUCAAGGGACACACCUCUUCAUCAGGGUGUCCAUCGAGGUCUGGUUAGGAAAUAGAGCCCAGGAGAAAACUCAUAGCAAUCACCAGGAAGAUGACCAUGUGUGGCAGAGGCAGAGACUGGGACUCAGCUGCAAACCAAGGAACGUGAAGAAUGUUAUCAGAUGGCCACCAUCAGGCUAGGAAAAGGCAAGAAAGGAUUCUACCCAGAGUCUCAGAGGACUAUGCUCUACUGACACCUUGAUUUUGGAAUUCUUGCCUCCAACUGUGGCC
rnacentral:lncRNA from 1 species